UACGAAGGGGGCUAGCGUUGCUCGGAAUGACUGGGCGUAAAGGGCGCGUAGGCGGGCAUUAAAGUCAGGGGUGAAAUCCCCCAGCUCAACUGGGGAACUGCCUUUGAUACUGAAUGUCUCGAGUAAGGUAGGGGCAUGCGGAACUGAUGGUGGAGCGGUGAAAUGCGUAGAUAUCAGGAGGAACACCGGUGGUGUAGACGGCUUUCUGGACCGUAACUGACGCUGAGACACGAAAGCGUGGGUAGCAAACAGG
rnacentral:rRNA from 1 species